GAUCUCCAAGAUCAGGGAUUUCAAGUAUAUAGAAAAUUUUCUCCUGAGUGAGUACUAUCUUUAAAUUCCUCAACCAGUCCACAUAGUUUGGUCCGGUCAACUUGUUGGCAUCUAAGAUGCCUCUUAGUGAAAGUGAAGAAGCCAUUUAAUAAUUCUACAUAUGCAAGAACAUAACUAAUAUAAGCAGACCAAUCAUGAUGACAUGUUUGCAACU
rnacentral:lncRNA from 1 species